CUACGGGCGGCUCCAGUGAGGAAUAUUGCACAAUGGGGGGAACCCUGAUGCAGCAACGCCGCGUGGAGGAUGACGCAUUUCGGUGUGUAAACUCCUUUUAUAUGUCAAGAAAAUGACGGUAGCAUAUGAAUAAGCACCGGCUAACUCCGUGCCAGCAGCCGCGGUAAUACGGAGGGUGCAAGCGUUACUCGGAAUCACUGGGCGGAAAGGACGCGUAGGCGGGUUGGAAAGUCAGGUGUGAAAUCCUACAGCUUAACUGUAGGACUGCACUUGAAACUUCUAAUCUAGAGUAUGGGAGAGGGAGAUGGAAUUAGUGGUGUAGGGGUAAAAUCCGUAGAUAUCACUAGGAAUACCUAAAGCGAAGGCGAUCUCCUGGAACAUUACUGACGCUAAGGCGUGAAAGCGUGGGGAGCAAACAGGAUUAGAUACCCCUGUAGUC
rnacentral:rRNA from 1 species